CGCACCUUGCGCCCUCUGGUAUUCCGGAGGGCAUGCCUGUUUGAGUGUCUUGAAGUCAUCAACCCCCUCCGUUUCGUGCGGUCUGGGUUGGAGCUGGGGGCUCUGCCGCUGAAAGGCGGCUCCCCUCAAAUGCAUCGGUUGGGCCUGUGGGUCGAACUCGACUGGGCGUUGUACCAUCCUCGCUCGACAGAGACGUUCCCCUCUUGCGCCCUUCCCCGACUGCCUCUCAAGGGUGGCGGUCAAGCUUUUUUGAAAUCUGACCUCAAAUCAGGUAGGACUACCCGCUGAACUUAA
rnacentral:misc_RNA from 1 species